GAGCACGGACCCGGUGUCAAUCAGGGCCGGAAUUUCUUGGUUUUCUACCACAAUUUUCCACAAGACUCGGCUAUUAUUCGCAAAAUCGGGGAAAACUUGUCCAAUCGGGUACGGUGUGCCGGUAAUGGCUCCUAGUUCCGGGGACUGGUCGGAGCCUUUUCGGGUGCAGUCCCCUUUGAAUUUCCCGGUUUAAAGGGGCAGGGACACUCGAUCGAUUUUACCCCUUGGCGUCCACAUCUUGAGCAGAACAGUAUUGCUGGUUGUCGGCAUUGUAGGCGUGUGUGGCCCUUUUGACCGCAUCUCCAACAUAACCUUUCUAAAUCAGACUGUUUGUUGCUGUUCGAGCUCCAUGUGGGUCUUGGUGCCGGUUUUGGUCUUUGUAAUGACGUUUGUUGCGGAGUGCUCAUUGAAAAUCCGGGUUUUGCCUUUGUCCAAUUUGAUGUGGUACUCAUGCAGCUCUUCACGUCUGAUUUCGACCGUCUUAUUUCCUGAGUCAACCCUUCGUAUUCCUGGAUUUGGUCCAAUAAUUCCAUUACGGAGCGGACGUCGUUUUUGCUUCUUGGUCCCUUGUCCAUCCUCCGUGUCGCCGGAUCAGAGUUUGCAACUGGAUUACGAAGUCACGGCCAUUCUCCUGCGGUCUCUGCACCCUCCGGAAGAUUUCUUCUUCAAGGCCCUCACGGUACUCUCGAGGAAAGUUCCAACUGCGGCCGCAUUCUCUUUGACAAACUGUCGGAGACGACGUCGUAGUUCCUCAACAGUACCUUCGGUGGAGAGUCCAAAUCUCUUCAAGUCACUGAUUAGUUCCUGUUUCCUCAAACGGUAGAUCCAUCCAACUCUUAUGUCUCCAGCUUCUGUGUCGGAAUCCAAUUCGUCGUCGGUGCCAGACAUCUUGUACUCUCUCUCUUACCUUUUCCUUCAGACCCUUCUCAGUCCCUGCUCGGGCGCCAAAAUUUGUAAUGUCCUUUUUCCGGGCGGCUUUGUCGGAGAUCGGGUUGCGGUUGGGCCUUUUGGAAAGCCUCAAGAGAGAGAGAAAACGGGUUUCUAACUCAAACCAAUUAUUUAUUCUAUCAAACUGUACAAAUAAAAAUAACAAAUCCCCAAGAUAAAUAAAAGUAAUAAUAAUAACUA